rnacentral:rRNA from 1 species
UACGAAGGUGGCAAGCGUUGUUCGGAUUUACUGGGCGUACAGGGGGCGUAGGCGGUUGGGUAAGCCCUCCGUGAAAUCUCCGGGCCUAACCCGGAAAGUGCGGAGGGGACUGCUCGGCUAGAGGAUGGGAGAGGAGCGCGGAAUUCCCGGUGUAGCGGUGAAAUGCGUAGAGAUCGGGAGGAAGGCCGGUGGCGAAGGCGGCGCUCUGGAACAUUUCUGACGCUGAGGAUCGAAAGCGUGGGGAGCAAACAGG